rfam:Camelus ferus unplaced genomic scaffold scaffold852, whole genome shotgun sequence.
UAGCUCAGUGGUAGAGUGUGUGCUUAGCAUGCACAAGGUCCUGGGUUCAAUCCCCAG